rnacentral:lncRNA from 1 species
GGAGAACCUCCUACGACGUGAUAGCCACCUGGAAAAAACGCCCAGAACCAAGGAACCGAUGCGGGUCUGUUUUCUGUUGGUGAUGAGAUACCGUACCCAUAUGGAUUGGUGGACUCCCUUCAGUUUCCCUAAGGCCACACAGUGGUCUCCAGUCUGCUGGGUGGGCUGAAACAGUGGCCCUUGGUAGAUCUGAAACUUAGCGGGAUUGUCUCCAAGUCAGAGACUGCAGUACAGCAAAUCACGUGUCCAAAGUCACCCAAGAUCUCGAUGACCGAGCGGAAAAUACCGUGUACUUUCAUAACUACUUCUAGCCUGACGGAGGGAAAAAUUCAAGUCAUCUAAAAAUAGAAAACCAUGGUAGUUUUAAAAAUUAGAAAUCUUUAGUGCUGCCUGCCUUUGUUCUCUUUUUCAGUACACCACUGGGCCAGCCCCUAAAAGUCACAUUUUAAGAACCAGUUGUGGGGGCCAGCCAGGUAGUGUAGUGGUUAAGUUCGUGCACUCCACUUUGGCCACCUGGGGUUUGCAGGUUUGGAUCCAGGGCACAGACUUACA